rnacentral:rRNA from 1 species
CUGGCGGCGUGCCUAAUACAUGCAAGUCGAACGGUCUUUCUAUGGAAGCUUGCUUCCACUGAGAAGAUAGUGGCGAACGGGUGAGUAACACGUGGGUAACCCUGCCCAUAAGAGGGGGAUAACAUCCGGAAACGGGUGCUAAUACCGCAUAGUUUUCUUGAUCGCAUGAUCGGGAAAGGAAAGACGGCCUUUGUGCUGUCGCUUAUGGAUGGACCCGCGGCGUAUUAGUUAGUUGGUGAGGUAACGGCUCACCAAGACGAUGAUACGUAGCCGACCUGAGAGGGUGAUCGGCCACAUUGGGACUGAGACACGGCCCAAACUCCUACGGGAGGCAGCAGUAGGGAAUCUUCCGCAAUGGACGAAAGUCUGACGGAGCAACGCCGCGUGAGUGAAGAAAGGUUUUUCGGAUCGUAAAACUCUGUUGUCAGAGAAGAACAAGUUGGAGAGUAACUGCUCCAGCCUUGACGGUAUCUGACCAGAAAGCCACGGCUAACUACGUGCCAGCCGCCGC